rnacentral:rRNA from 1 species
AGAAUCAACGCUGGCGGCGUGCCUAACACAUGCAAGUCGAACGAGAAAGGGGAGCAAUCCCUGAGUAAAGUGGCGACCGGGUGAGUAACACGUGACUAACCUACCCUCGAGUGUGGAAUAACAUCGGGAAACCGAUGCUAAUACCGCAUAACAUCGGCGCUUUUAAGAGAUGCCGAUCAAAGGAGCAAUCCGCUUGAGGAGGGGGUCGCGGCUGAUUAGCUAGUUGGCGGGGUAACGGCCCACCAAGGCGAAGAUCGGUAGCCGGCCUGAGAGGGCGCACGGCCACACUGGAACUGAAACACGGUCCAGACUCCUACGGGAGGCAGCAGUGGGGAAUUUUGCGCAAUGGGGAAACCCUGACGCAGCAACGCCGCGUGGAGGAUGAAGCCCCUUGGGGCGUAAACUCCUUUCGACCAAGACGAUAAUGACGGUACUGGUGGAAGAAGCACCGGCUAACUCUGCGCCAGCAGCCGC